UACGGAGGAUGCAAGCGUUAUCCGGAAUGAUUGGGCGUAAAGCGUCCGCAGGUGGCGAUGUAAGUCUGCUGUUAAAGAGUGAGGCUCAACCUCAUAAGAGCAGUGGAAACUACAUAGCUAGAGUACGUUCGGGGCAGAGGGAAUUCCUGGUGUAGCGGUGAAAUGCGUAGAGAUCAGGAAGAACACCAGUGGCGAAGGCGCUCUGCUAGGCCGUAACUGACGCUGAGGAGCGAAAGCGUGGGGAGCGAACAGG
rnacentral:rRNA from 1 species